AAUGAACGCUGGCGGCAGGCCUAACACAUGCAAGUCGAACGAGUGGCGGACGGGUGAGUAAUGUCUGGGAAACUGCCCGAUGGAGGGGGAUAACUACUGGAAACGGUAGCUAAUACCGCAUACUAUCGGCUGUGCCCAGAUGGGCUUAGGUAGUAGGUGUGGUUACGGCUGACCUAGGCGACGAUCGCGAGCUGGUCUGAGAGGGUGACCAGCCACACUGGAACUGUGAGACGGGCCAGACGCCUACGGUAGGCAGCAGUGGGGAAUAUUGCACAAAGGGCGCAAGCCGGAUACAGCCAAGCCGCGUGUGUGAAGAGGGCCUUGGGGUUGUAAAGUAAUUUCAGCGAGGAGGCGUUACUCGCAGAAGAAGCACCGGCUAACUCCGUGCCAGCAGCCGCGGUAAUUC
rnacentral:rRNA from 1 species